rnacentral:rRNA from 1 species
UACGUAGGGUGCAAGCGUUAAUCGGAAUUACUGGGCGUAAAGCGUGCGCAGGCGGUUUUGUAAGACAGGCGUGAAAUCCCCGGGCUUAACCUGGGAAUGGCGCUUGUGACUGCAAAGCUGGAGUGCGGCAGAGGGGGAUGGAAUUCCGCGUGUAGCAGUGAAAUGCGUAGAUAUGCGGAGGAACACCGAUGGCGAAGGCAAUCCCCUGGGCCUGUACUGACGCUCAUGCACGAAAGCGUGGGGAGCAAACAGG